UACGUAGGGGGCAAGCGUUGUCCGGAUUUAUUGGGCGUAAAGAGCGUGUAGGCGGUUUGGUAGGUCCGCUGUGAAAACUCGAGGCUCAACCUCGAGACGCCGGUGGAAACCAUCAGGCUAGAGUCCGGAAGAGGAGAGUGGAAUUCCUGGCGUAGCGGUGAAAUGCGCAGAUAUCAGGAAGAACACCCGUGGCUAAGGCGGCUCUCUAGUACGGUACUGACGCUGAGACGCGAAAGCGUGGGGAGCGAACAGG
rnacentral:rRNA from 1 species